AUUUCUCUCUCGGACCAAGAGCACAGGUGGUGCGUGUUUCUCGUCAGCUCGUGUCGAGAGAUGGUGUUAAAACCCCCACCACGAGCAAACCCCUUGUUUUUAGUUGCUAACAAGUAAGGGAGAUCACUCUAGAGAGACUGCCGAUAAUAAAUAGAAGGAAGGGGGGGAUGACAACAAAUCAUCCUCCCUUUUAUGUGCUGGCCUACACACGUCCUACAAUGGUCGGUACAACGAGGAGCUACCCAGCGAUGUGAAACAAAUCUAUAAAAGCCGAUCCCAGUUCGGAUGGCAGGCACCCACUCGCCUGCAUGAAGAAGGAGUAGCUAGUAAUCACAAAAAAGAAUGCCGGGAUAAAUUCCUUCCCGUUUUUUAAAACACAAAAAA
rnacentral:rRNA from 1 species